rnacentral:tRNA from 1 species
GAUAAAGUGGCUGAGCUAGGCGUUGGAUUGUAGACCCAAAUACGGAGGUUAUGCCCUCUCUUUAUCA